AACGAACGCUGGCGGCAUGCCUAACACAUGCAAGUCGAACGAGACCUUCGGGUCUAGUGGCGCACGGGUGCGUAACGCGUGGGAACCUGCCCUUAGGUUCGGAAUAACUCCCCGAAAGGGGUGCUAAUACCGGAUAAUGUCUUCGGACCAAAGAUUUAUCGCCUUUGGAUGGGCCCGCGUUGGAUUAGCUAGUUGGUAGGGUAAAAGCCUACCAAGGCGACGAUCCAUAGCUGGUCUGAGAGGAUGAUCAGCCACACUGGGACUGAGACACGGCCCAGACUCCUACGGAAGGCAGCAGUGGGGAAUAUUGGACAAUGGGCGAAAGCCUGAUCCAGCAAUGCCGGGUGAGUGAUGAGGGCCUUAGGGUUGUAAAGCUCUUUACCCGGGAUGAUAAUGACAGUACCGGGAGAAUAAGCUCCGGCUAACUCCGUG
rnacentral:rRNA from 1 species